AACUUUAUUUUUUUAGUUGAUAUCCAUUUCAGUGUAUGAAAAAAAUGAGAAUUUUUUAGUUUUUUUGAUAAUUUCACCAAAUCUAGUUGCUCUAUUUAUAUUUUAUCGAAUAAAUAAUUAUAUAUAAAAAUUUAAAUGAAAAUAAUGUUAAAAAAUUAUCUGAUCUUUCUUUAAUUUUGAAAGCUAAAAUUUUUUUUAAUCAAAAUUAUUCUCGAUAAUUUUAUCUGCAUUAAAUGCAUUAAAAAACUGAAACAUAAUAUAUUUUAGCUUUCGAACAAAACUCUCUUUUUGUUUCAAUCGACAGAAUAAUUCAUGCAUAUAGUUAUGUGAUUUACUUUUGCUUAAAUAGGAAAAAAAUAAAAUCUAUAAUUUAUUUCAAAAUUACUAUUACUAAUUAGGAAUAUAAAUUGAUAAAGAUACGCAAUUUUAUCUGAACUCGAUUUAAAAUGAGAUAAGCUUAAUCAAUGCUGAAUAGGAAUAGUUUCAGUUAUAGAUAUCAAAAAAUAAAAUCCCAUCGUAUGUAAAUUCAGUUAUGCGUUUGGUCUAUAUUUAAACUGAACUUGAACCGAAAUCCGAAACUAAAAACAAAACCAAAAUUAGAUAAAAACAUACUAUAUAUAAAAUAUAAUUUUUAUAUAUUUUUUAAUAAUUAAUAUAUAUUAAUGAUUUAAUUUAAUAUGUAUAUAUUAAAUACUCAAAUUUAGAUUUACAAAAUUAUCUUGAAAUACCUAUUAGUAUUUUUAUUAUUAAGUAUUAAUAAGAGAUAAAGGGUAAAAAUGGUAUUUUGAAAAUUUAACUCCGUUUCAAAUGGGACCUAACGGAUCUAAACUAAUAGAGGGCAUUUAUGAUAAUUUUUAACCUAUUGGAGAGUAUUUGUGAUAUUAUCAAUUUUAGAAGGGUAUUGAUGAAAUUAAUAGUUUCUGGAAGGGCAUCUAUGAAAUUAUUCCAUAAUUUAAAUUGAUAGAUGAGGA
rnacentral:lncRNA from 1 species